ACAUCACAAAGCUGCCUCCAACAACCUGGCACCAUUCUGGUAUGUAACGCCCACAUUUCCUUAUCCAAUCAAUUCCCAAGGCAAUUAGCAGUGCUUGCUAAUUAAGAGCAUAAAAUAUUGAUUGUGUGCUCAAAAAGUUGACAGCCUUCUUCUAAAUGUGUAAAUGCGCUCCUGUUGAGUGCUCUGUAAACACCAUUUACUAAGGUAGCAAUCAGCAGUGAUGAGUUCUAGCAGGUGUGUUUGUCCUCUGUGCUUGUCUAGCCACAUUAUCCAUGAGUACUAUUGAAGAGUUGUAUAACACUGAGUCACUGAUCAAGCGUAGGUACUUGUGGGUGUGCUAAUGCCUGCACGCAGCUGGAGGCUGCUGCUGUCCUUCCUCUGAGACUCCAGUGCACGUGUCUUCUCCUCAAAGGACACAGAUGAGCAGGAUGUUUUUGUCUUCCUCAGGCUUCAGUGGCUCUGCACCAGUCUGUUUUGUCUGUGUGCUGCACCAUCGUUCUCUCUGGAGUCUGCCUUGACCAUUGUCUCAGAGGAGCUUUACGUCAUUCUGGGCCUCCGUGUCAUGCUCAUUUGCUGCAUGAGUCAAACUGCAUCACACCAUGAUCCUGAGACACAGUUAGCAUUGCCAGUGCAAUUGUGUACAUGCCUCAACAGUUUGCACCUGACAACCCUUCGUUACUAACACUUGUCCUGUGGAUAAGUUUUACAUUGCAUUUAUUUCUGCAGAUUUUCUGACUGACAGCUCUUAGAAUGGCACCUUACAUUGAGUGAUGGGCCAUUUUUCCAGAGCCAGACGAAACAGAUGAAACACAAAAAGAUUUCUCAAAAACUGAGCUCAAACAAUAAUUCGGCCCCCCUGCAGUACUGCUGUGGACCCCCUGUUGAAGACCCCUGCUGUAUUGUUACAUUUUCAGUUGGAUUUAGGAAAAAUAUUGAAAACAAUGUAGCCGACCACAGACAAAGAGAGCGAUUCAGAAACAAAGAUAUUAAAUUGGCUCAGGUGUUUGUGUGGUUCAGAACUCUCUGAUGUUCUGUGUCUCUGACUCAAGCUGAGUUUUCAUAUACUUUGGUCUGAAAUGUAUCAAAUUUGUGUUGUGAAGAUACACCGAUACUCAUAAAGGAGAUCAUGACUCUCAUGCCUUGAGAGACAGAUAGCAGUCUUGAAUCCUCUGUGAUAAAUGAUGCAUUUAUCAUUAAAAAUGAUAAAUGCAUUUAUUAUAUUUUUCAUGGAUGCAAGAAAAAAAAUUAUUGAGGCAAAUAUCUCAUGAAGUCUUUGGCUCCCUGCAAGUGCUCCUGAAGAAAUAUGCCAUGUUAAAUGUACCAUUAUGUGUGUGAAAUAUAAAGAAACAGGGCUGAGAUUAGAAAUGGCUAGUGACCUGGGAAUAAUCCACAUUAGAUACAUUGACUGUUACACGUCUAAACUCAUUUUAUUCUUCUCAAUGCAUCUUAAGUUCAUGUGUAGUAUGAGCCUCAUGUUUCAAACCCAUAGAGGUUAGAAAAUGUGUGUUAUGUAGAAUGAACACGGUUUUAUUAUUAUUAUUAUUUUAUUUUUUUUCAAAAGUUUGGAGUCAGUAAGAUUUUUAGGAAGAAAUUAAUCAAAACUGACAGUAAAGACUCCAUUUACUAUUGUUUUUAUUUUAAUUAUUAUACUUUAUCACCUGAAAAAAAUCUAUUUCAAAUAAAUGCCCUUUUUUUUACUUUCUAUUCCUUGAAGAAUCCUAAAUAAUAUCACAGUUUCCACAAAACUAUUAAGCAGAACAACUGUAAUAAGAAAUGUUUCUUGAGCACCAGAUCAGCAUAUUGGAAUAAUUUUCUACAGGAUCAUGUGACACUGAAGACUGGAAUAAUUGCUGCUCAAAAUUCAGCUUUGCAUCACAGGAUUUUUUUUU
rnacentral:lncRNA from 1 species